rnacentral:tRNA from 1 species
GCCCCCAUAGCUCUGUUGGUAGAGCAGGAGGCUCUUCAUCUCAGGGUUGUGGGUUCAAGCCCCACGUUGGGCA